GCCAGCAGCCGCGGUAAUACAGAGGGUGCGAGCGUUAAUCGGAUUUACUGGGCGUAAAGCGUGCGUAGGCGGCUUAUUAAGUCGGAUGUGAAAUCCCCGAGCUUAACUUGGGAAUUGCAUUCGAUACUGGUGAGCUAGAGUAUGGGAGAGGAUGGUAGAAUUCCAGGUGUAGCGGUGAAAUGCGUAGAGAUCUGGAGGAAUACCGAUGGCGAAGGCAGCCAUCUGGCCUAAUACUGACGCUGAGGUACGAAAGCAUGGGGAGCAAACAGGAUUAGAUACCCUGGUAGUCCAUGCCGUAAACGAUGUCUACUAGCCGUUGGGGCCUUUGAGGCUUUAGUGGCGCAGCUAACGCGAUAAGUAGACCGCCUGGGGAGUACGGUCGCAAGACUAAAACUCAAAUGAAUUGACGGGGGCCCGCACAAGCGGUGGAGCAUGUGGUUUAAUUCGAUGCAACGCGAAGAACCUUACCUGGCCUUGACAUACUAGAAACUUUCCAGAGAUGGAUUGGUGCCUUCGGGAAUCUAGAUACAGGUGCUGCAUGGCUGUCGUCAGCUCGUGUCGUGAGAUGUUGGGUUAAGUCCCGCAACGAGCGCAACCCUU
rnacentral:rRNA from 1 species